CGAAUACAUUAGCAUGGGAUAAUGGAAUAGGACCCUGUCCUCCUAUUUUCAGUUGGUUUUGGCAGCGCGAGGACUAGGGUAAUGAUUAAUAGGGAUAGUUGGGGGCAUUAAUAUUUAAUUGUCAGAGGUGAAAUUCUUGGAUUUAUGAAAGAUUAACUUCUGCGAAAGCAUCUGCCAAGGAUGUUUUCAUUAAUCAAGAACGAAAGUUAGGGGAUCGAAGACGAUCAGAUACCGUCGUAGUCUUAACCAUAAACGAUGCCGACCAGCGAUUAGGAGACGUUGAAUACAAAACACCACCAUCGGCGCGGUCGUCCUUGGCGUCGGUCCUUCACGGGGCCGGCGCGAGGGCGGCUUAGCCCGGUGGCACCGGUGAAUGACUCCCCUAGCAGCUUGUGAGAAAUCAUAAGUCUUUGGGUUCCGGGGGGAGUAUGGUCGCAAGGCUGAAACUUAAAGGAAUUGACGGAAGGGCACCACCAGGAGUGGAGCCUGCGGCUUAAUUUGACUCAAC
rnacentral:rRNA from 1 species